GACCUCAAGUUAUGUGAGAGUACCCGCUGAACUUAAGCAUAUCAAUAAGCGGAGGAAAAGAAACUAACAAGGAUUCCCCUAGUAACGGCGAGUGAAGCGGGAAGAGCACAAAUUUUAAAUCUACCUGGUUUUCAGGUCGAGUUGUAAUUUGAAGAAACGUUAUUGAUGUUCUGGGUUGGGAUAAAUCCUUUGGGAUGAGGUAUCAUGGAGGGUGAGAAUCCCGUAUAUACUAACCACAGGAAUAUUAUUUAAUACGUUUUCUAAGAGUCGAGUUGUUUGGGAAUGCAGCUCUAAAUGGGUGGUAAAUUUCACCUAAUGCUAAAUAUAAGCGAGAGACCGAUAGCGAACAAGUACCGUGAGGGAAAGAUGAAAAGAACUUUGAAAAGAGAGUUAAAUAGUACGUGAAAUUGUCGAAAGGGAAACGAUUAAAGUCAGUCAUGCCGGCGGGAAUCAACUUAGGGGAAACUUUAAGUGCACUUCACGUUUGGCAAGUUAGUGUCGAUUUUGGAUGUCAUAAAAUGAUUGGGGGAAGGUAGCUCUUUCGAGAGUGUUAUAUCCCUUAGUAGAUGUGAUGUCUGGGAUCGAGGAUUGCAACGGAUACCCUUUGGGCUAGCCACCUGAUCUCUAACUGAUGUUGGGUUACGGACAGCAUGCUGACCGUGAUUUAAUUAUUGGUUAAAAGGUUAGAGUGAGUGUAAAUUCGUUAAGGACGCUGACGUAAUGGCUUUAAACGACCCGUCUUGAAACACGGACCAAGGAGUCUAACAUGUAUGCGAGUGUUAGGGUAUUAAACCCAGACGCGAAAUGAAAGUGAGUGUAGGUGGGAUCCUUUAUUGGAGCACCAUCGACCGAUCUUGAGAUUUAUCGAUAGAAUUGAGUUAGAGC
rnacentral:rRNA from 1 species